UACGAAGGUGGCAAGCGUUACUCGGAAUUACUAGGCGUAAAGGGCAGGUAGGUGGUUCGGUAAGUCUGUUGUGGAAGCUCCCGGCUUAACUGGGAGAGGCCAACGGAAACUACCGAACUUGAGUGUAGGAGAGGGUACUGGAAUUCCUGGUGUAGCGGUGAAAUGCGCAGAUAUCAGGAGGAACACCGAUGGCGAAGGCAGGUCUCUGGGCAUUAACUGACGCUGAGGAGCGAAAAGCAUGAGGAGCGAACAGG
rnacentral:rRNA from 1 species